GUAAAAAUGGAAACAACAAAAGCUCGUUUGGGCCUUAGGCCCGAACAACUAGGUCAUGAACCGGCACAACCAAGUGCAAGUAAACAUAAUAGAAACGUAUCAGAAACUCCUUCCCUGCGUUUCAACGUUUCUCUUCUUCUUCUCUGCUCCGUCUCGACAUCUCGCGUUCGCAACCGAAAAAGUAUCGAAGCUAAACCACUCCACAAUGUUCAACGUCCUCCCGGUGGAUUCAAUCCUUGUGCGUGAAAAUUCGAAAAGAACGAAAUUGGAUCGAAGAGAAAAAAAUUCACCAAAACGGAGCUUUGGCGUGAAUCAGGUGUUACUUGGACUCUGAAGCUAUGCGAGGCCAGUUCAAGCAUUUUUCCAUAGUUAUUCAAAUGAGAGGUUUUCUGUCAUAACCUUUGUACACUAUCAGACUCCACAUUCCAAACACAAGACAACGGAUUGCACUUACUACUACAUCACAUAAUAUACCAGUUUGAUCCAAAUCUAUCAGCUCCGGUAAUUCCACUCUACUUAUGGACAUCUCCCAAGUAUCGGAAGAAGCUUGCACAAACCCUUUGUGAUACACUUCCGAAGUUGCAAGGGAAGUGAUGGAGGAAAAAAUGCUUAACCUUGUUAAUGCCUAUUUGGAUUUCUGCCUGGAGUUAACUUGUGAGUUGCUUAUGGAAUGUUUUCCUUUGACAUGGCUAAUUGUAAUGGACUGUUAUGGUUGGCAUAUAUUAUUGAUAGCAGUCAUGGAAAUUAAUUGGAAAAUUUGUUUUAGUUUGUUAGAAGUUAGUUUUAAUGCAUUGUCGUUCAUUCUGUUAGUGAAGAUCUUGAUGUUAGUUGGUUUGCUGAGUUUCAACAUGAUGCUAAGUGGAUCAAUGGCUUAUGAAAUGUUGGAAUAUUGCUUAUAAAGCUUGCUUGGAAUGGCUUGAAGAACCUUGAGUUAGCUUGGCCUCUUUUGUAAACUUGUGAAUUAAACAUUGUAAAUUAAAAUGUAAAGUGAACUAUGGAAUUGUUGUGGCUUUUGCUUGGUAUGAAGAAUUGGAAUGGUCUUGUAACUUUUGUAAUAAUUGGUGAAAAAAUGUAAAGAUUUGUUUGUAAUAAUUGUAAAGGAAAGUUAUUGUAAUAAAAUGGAAUUUGAUUUUGAAUA